GAUGAACGCUGGCGGCGUGCCUAAUACAUGCAAGUCGAGCGAACAGACGAGGAGCUUGCUCCUCUGAUGUUAGCGGCGGACGGGUGAGUAACACGUGGAUAACCUACCUAUAAGACUGGGAUAACUUCGGGAAACCGGAGCUAAUACCGGAUAACAUGUUGAACCGCAUGGUUCAACAGUGAAAGACGGUCUUGCUGUCACUUAUAGAUGGAUCCGCGCCGCAUUAGCUAGUUGGUAAGGUAACGGCUUACCAAGGCAACGAUGCGUAGCCGACCUGAGAGGGUGAUCGGCCACACUGGAGCUGAGACACGGUCCAGACUCCUACGGGAGGCAGCAGUAGGGAAUCUUCCGCAAUGGGCGAGAGCCUGACGGAGCAACGCCGCGUGAGUGAAGAAGGUCUUCGGAUCGUAAAACUCUGUUAUUAGGGAAGAACAAAUGUGUAAGUAACUAUGCACGUCUUGACGGUACCUAAUCAGAAAGCCACGGCUAACUACGUG
rnacentral:rRNA from 1 species